UUCCGCUGAUCAGGUCGCUGCUGGACGAGUCAGCUGCCUAAGGAAGGUAAGGUAGGGGCAGGUGCAGCGCGGGUACAGCUGGGCUGCUGCUCCUGCGUGCGUCUGCGGUGGGGAAGGAAGGAAGGAAGGACACUGCGUUGCGUUGCGCCGGCGUCGCUCAGCGCCGUGGCUGUCCGUCGCAGCAGGGCAGUGCCCCGCCCGCCCGGGGCGCGACGCGCCAGCGUCCUCGCAUCGUCGGCUCGCUCGGUUUCGUUCGGCGGGCAGACAGUGACCCCGCGCCCGGGGCGGCUGUGCGGGAGGACAGGUGACCGCACGCCGUUGGGGCCUGCUUGAGCCUGGCUCUGGUAAGUUUAAAAGAAGGUGACGGGGAUCGGGGUCGGGGUCGGGUAGAGAAGGAAGAGUAGGGGGGACGGACAGAGGAGGAGGCGAGGCGAGCGAGGGAGGCGUCUAGGCGCGGUCGCUCCUGGGCCCCUCUGCUUAAGGGGGCGGCUACCGCCACUUGCCCAGCCGGUUGCCCAGCAGCCCCCGGUUGCCCAGCCGCCCCGGCUGGUCCUGGCACGACCACUGGCCGCCCCGCCCGAUGUAGCCGUCGGUGCGGCACGACGUCGACGAGCGGCGCCCGAAGGCGCGGCAGCAGCAGCUGUCGGAGCUCUUGAGGAGGCUCGAGCGGCAGGCGGCGCAGCGGCGCGAGCGGCCCCUGGUGCGCGCCUUGGAGAGGAAGGUGUUCCAACUAUAGGCACUGCUCCUACGUGACCUGCGACAAAAACGAAGGUGUUCUAAACUACGACAAUAAGUGAAACGACCUGACUUUCGACAGCCACUUUCACAUGUCUUCGGCAACAAAAUGAUACUGGUAUUGUAACGACCGUGUUAUUUAGAAAACUUUCAGUACCGUCGGGUACUUACGUUCUUCAACCACAAGAGUAGUAGUCGACGUCAAAUACCUAGUGGAUUCUUGAGUGGGACGUGUCUCCUCAAAGGAGAGGAAGGCGUGUUAGGUAUACCGUCUUGGUUCGAAUACCGACUCCUCUAUACGGCACUAUAUAUGGCCAGUCUAAGACUCACCUCUUAGUAAAAUGAAUCCAUGAAGUUGGGCCAACCCCGAGUGGGGUCACCUAUGGAACCACUUCUGGGUGCACCUCAAGGUUUGUUGGAAUACGGGAUGCAAGUCGUUCAACGACAACCCUCCUCCGGCAGUCACUGUUAGAAACCUUUAUUGAUACGUUGAUUUCUACCCUGGCCCCAUGCUCUAAUGUAAGUACACGAACUAGAACGACUCCCCGUAUAACGACGUGACGCCUUCGAAAAACUAUCAAGCAGAUUGUAUCCUACACUUGGUAUGUUGGAACCCUGACCUUUCCCCUGCAGUCACAACCUCUAUCAGUUACGUAAACUCUUCCGAAGACCUUUCUUUUAGGGCGACCAGUAGCCAGUCGCGGCGGGACCACUACGGCUCUAAGAGAAACGUCCUUGACCGUUUCGUCUCUCUCUUGAGUUGACCUUUCGUUUUAUACCGUAGUGCCUCUACACGUCCCUGGUCACCUUGACCCGAUCGUUCUUGGGAAUGCCCAUGCCCAGUGGGCUGAGCUGGUUCGUCUUGCCAUCGUUAAGUGUGACUUGUUGCGCCUAGCCAGGCACGCCUGAGUGAACAUGUACGUUGAAUCACGGAUUCUCGACCCUAGCCACAUCUAGAUCAGCCGGUCAGUAUGUCUCUUUCAAUGUUCUAAUCUUUUUUUUUCCAACGAGACAACAAGAAGGCCAUAGCCAUGUUUUAGAUAGAAGGAGGACGUAUAUAAAAAAGCAGCUCUAACAAGAUCCUUCUAAACGAUCAAACGAUAUCAGCUGGUCGAUUAAGUUAAGAAAAUGACGAUUAACUCAACGUAACGGAUCGUCGACAUAUGCUUAGGAAAAACACGGACACGACAUUAUCAUUAAUCUGCUCGGUGUCAUUAUGUGAGUCGAACCAACAUAGAAAAGAAAGUACGUCGCACAAUGGGAGGACACAUAUAUAGUCUUUAAACCA
rnacentral:rRNA from 1 species